GAUGAAGAACGCAGCGAAAUGCGAUAAGUAGUGUGAAUUGCAGAAUUCAGUGAAUCAUCGAAUCUUUGAACGCACAUUGCGCCCCUUGGUAUCCCGAGGGGCAUGCCUGUUCGAGCGUCAUUUCACCACUCAAGCCUGGCUUGGUGUUGGGCGACGUCCUCUUUGGGGACGCGCCUCGAAACGCUCGGCGGCGUGGCACCGGCUUUAAGCGUAGCAGAAUCUUUCGCUUUGGAAGUCGGGGCCCCGUCUGCCGGAAGUCCUGCUCGCAAGGUUGACCUCGGAUCAGGCAGGGAUACCCGCUGAACUUAAGCAUAUCAAUAAGCGGAGGA
rnacentral:misc_RNA from 1 species